CGCGGCCAUCCCCGCGGACAACGUUUGCAAGGCGGGCUGAGGGUGGAGGAGGUCUCGGGGAAAGCGGACCGAAGGGAAAGAAAAAUCAGAAAGACAAUUAGGAUUUGUCCCGGUGCCUGAACUCUCCCCCCUUCCCUAAAGGACCAAGCCGUGGCUGCGGGGACGCCAACACCAUUGCGGGGGCUUCCCUGGGUCCACAGUCCCGCGCUCCGCGGCGCAGAAUGAACUAUCAGUGGGCGCCAUCGAUCGCGCCGCGCUCGCGGCCUCCCCCGGAUCACACAGCCCCGCGGAAUGAAUUCGUCCCUUUAAAACAUUACAGGAAUACUGAGAUUGCGGAGGAAGUGACACUUGACCCUGCAACCCGAGCCCCGCGGGGCGGCCGCUGCCUUUCAAAAUAGCAGUCCCCGAGCAGCGCCGCGCGGCGGUGGCGGGCCGAGCCCUCCGGGGCCUCUCCGGGUCCCCUUCCUCGCCCCCACCCCCGCCUUGCUCGCAGCCUGCCUCGGUCGACCCCUUCCCGCAGCCGCGUUUCAAUCAAACUCACUGGGACGGCACGGAGCAGGCGCCGGGGACAAGAAACGCCGCGCCGGCGACAACUCUCGGACCAGCGGAGCCGCGCGCCCCCGCGCCCCCGCCCACACGCGCCCGGCGUGCUGGAACCCGCACCUGGCCCGCGGGUAGCCGGAAAAGCGGGGUGCCGGCCCGCCAGCGGGGAUGCCCCUGCUCCCCCAGCUCCAAGCGCUGCGGCUGAGAAACCCACUCGGCCGGCCUAGCCCCCGCCGGAGCCCUGCACCGUGGGGAGCCGGAGGCCGGGGAGGGGACCAGAGAAGGGGAAGACAGGGCAAUGCGCUUCUUCCUACCCUGGGACAGCGCCUGAACUGGGACUGGGUGCAGGGGAAACGACGGGAAGAGCUGAGAAAAGAAAGGAAAAGAGGAAGAGACGAGGCGGGGAAGAAAGGGAUCCGGAGUGGCCCGCCCUCGGGCCUCCGCGCCCGUGAAGCCCCGCGCCCUCGGCAAGGCCACGCUUCGCCGGCAUGGGAAGCCAGGAGGCAGCGGAGCGCGGGUCUGGGGCACCGGGGACAUUGACAGACAUAAUUGGGGUGCCAAACUGGGCUUCUUAAUUUCGAAGCCAGGAUGGGCGGGUGUGGCCGGGGGCGCGCGGGGCCAGCCAACUUGGGGUGCUUUCCUUGUGGGCUCACACCGGCAGCGCGGACCCGCAGAGGCCGCGGGGCCUGCAAGUUCGUCGCCUCCUUUUGUUCUGGCCUCGGCUGUAAUUUAACAUAAAAUGCCUGUUAGAAUCACUGCUGCUGAAACACGCGUUUCUCCUUGUUUUGCCACCAACUAACAGGAUUAGCCAACAAGAGCGAGAUUUCAAAUUAACCAUAAAAAUUACAAAUUGCAAUUCAUUUAGCUGCCCACUUACUACAUUAAAAGACAUAAAUAAGUGAAUCUGCGUAUUCAGAGGGUUGAACCGCCCGCAAGGAAGCGAAAGCGGCUGAACUCAGGCCUCCGGGUCGGAGUCAGGGCUGUGGCGCUCAGGCCUCCGGGUCGGAGUCAGGGCUGCGGCGCUGGAGAGAGCGAGCAGCCGCGGAAUUUGCACCAUCUUCCGAGGGCAGAAAGAAGCAGCUUGGGUCAUUCGAGAAACCGAGGAGGAAGAAGGGAGCUGCGGGGCCCAGGCGUUUUUAGCACCUGUAUUCUCCCUGGGGAGGGACUGUGUGGGGGAAGAAGGGUGGGGCGCGGAGACAGGUCACUGGUUCUAAUUCGAGUUCGUCGGAAGGAAAGGCGAGAAAACCCAGCAAACGUGCUUUGCAAAAUUCUGGGGAGGGGGUGAUUCUCGUGUGGUGCGUCGUGUGUGAAGAAUAAGACGCUGGCGAAUUUUGCAGUGAAUUUAGAAGAGGCCCUGGCUAAAUUACUAAUUCCAGUCCAUUUGCAAGAGCCCUUGCCCUUUUUGUUUUGUUUUGUUUUUAGGGAAGCAGGCCCUUCCCCUUGUGAAGCCGCGACCAGCGUAAAACCCCGUUUGUGCAUUGAAGCUUUUCGAGUUAUGGAUACUCAGAAAUCUACAGAUUUGUCUGAGCAGUGGACCUGGCGGGAGGCAUGGGUCAGCGUGGUUCUAGAGUUUUCGUUCCUAAACCGGCUGGUCACGGACCCACGCUUUCGUCUCUCUGCAGCGGGGACGAGGCCUCCCGAAGGGAGGUGGAGUUGCCCCCGCAGCGCGCGGUCGGCAGGGGGCGCGCUGGGACACCCUGGCAGCGCCCACUCCAGCCCAGCCGGCCCCGCGUUAGGGCCGCGUGGGGGAAGCUCCAGCUUCUCUCCCUGGGAGAAGCGGCCCCGCAAGUCGGCCUGAGCCCGCGGGUUUCUACCGGACAACGUGGGCACCUGCCCCGGGACUUCCCUGAAAUGGAGGAAUGCGCGCCCCCGGGGAGCGCGGGAGGCCCAGCGAGCGCUGCAGCACCUGCAGCCUGGGGCGGUAGGAGGGGCGGGGCCGGGGCAUAAGAACCGGAGCUGGUUCCAUGCAGUGUGUGCGCCCAGCCCCAGGCCAGGCGCUGUCCCAGGGUAGGAAGAAAGUGCGCGAGGUGGCCCUGGUUGCACCCACGAAGCGCGCCCUACUGCUUUCCGGACACUCAUUCUCCAGCACCCAGGGCACUCCCCGCCGGCGCUCCUGCCCUAAACUCUCGGCUAAGUCCAGAGCCGGGCAUGCCUUCUCCCUAGAAGGUUCUCGAGCAAAUCGCAAACAAGUAGUCCUAUUCCACCCGAGCCUCAUGCCUCCACUGGUAAUGCCGGUUAAGAAGGCCAGGGGCGAGGGGAGGUGGGAGCAAGGCCAGGUGGGCGCCUAGGGGUGUCCAGAGCACACUGCUAACGCUGGCCGCGCUGUUCCGCUCAGCCUAACCUUUCUUGCCCUCCUGAACCUGCUCGUGGAGAGGGCGCCAUGCAUCGGGAAGGCCGGGAAGCGGGGGCGCAGACUUUUCCAGAAGUUCUGUGGGACCACGGGGCGGUUGCCUCACACGGGCGAGGCCUCGGCGCCUUUGUUGACCCCCAGGAAACCGUGGGCGGGACGCCUGGACUGCCCCCAUCUAGCUGUCCCAACCUGUGCUGCCUCUUUACUGCAGGGGAGAGGGGGCGCCCAGCCUGGACCGGUGCAGCGCGGUCGGCUCGCCUUGGAACAGGAAAUGAGGGGAUGGAGCGGGUCACGAAGUUGUUUUCCUAUUCUCCUGGCUGGAUUUAUCAUUCUUGCACACCAA